rnacentral:rRNA from 1 species
AUUGAACGCUGGCGGCAGGCCUAACACAUGCAAGUCGAACGAGUGGCGGACGGGUGAGUAAUGUCUGGGAAACUGCCCGAUGGAGGGGGAUAACUACUGGAAACGGUAGCUAAUACCGCAUACCAUCGGAUGUGCCCCGAUGGGAUUAGCUAGUCGGUGGGGUAACGGAGCACCUGGGCGACGAUCCCUAGCUGGUCUGAUAGGCUGACCAGCCACACGGGAACUGAGACACGGGCCAGACGCCUACGGUAGGCAGCAGUGGGGAAUAUUUCACAAUGGUCGCAAGUCUGAUGCAGCCAUGCCGCGUGUAUUAAGAAGGCCGUCGGUUUGUAAAGUACUUUCAGCGAGUAGGCGUUACUCACAGAAGAAGCACCGGCUAACUCCGUGCCAGCAGCCGCGGUAAUAC